UAGACCUAAGAUACACACAGCAAGAUACACGCUGAUACAAUUGAAGAAAAAUCAGUGCAGCUUUGGCGAGAAAGCGACCCCUGAAGAUCAUUCCUCAUCGAAGAACCCAUCGGCAGCCCUUCCCGUCGGUGUUACCCCCACCUCUGCAUCGUCUUCUCUAAAUGACCCCUGCUCUUUUUAUCGACCAUUAACAUAGACAGUAACAGAGACGACCCCCCUGAAGCUUCUUCCUCUUGACCCACCUUCUGAACCUCUUGAAAUCGCUUUAAGAAGCAAGCGUAGUAGAGAACAAAAGACCACCCUUCUAGCGCUAACUCCUCUUCGUUUAACAACUGAAAUCAGUGACCAUUUCCACCACAACUAGAUCUUGUUACACGAGAGAUCUGGCCAAUUUUGAGGUCUGGUCUUAAUUACACUGAGGUUACCGGUGAAGCUCUGGUCCUGCAGGUCGAGGAUGUCAUCUGGUCAGUGCUUUUAGGAAUUGUUGGAACUGUAAAAGUUCGAUCUUCUUUCAGAUUAUAUGUAAGUGCUUGAAUUUAUAAUUUGUUUGUUUUGGUAUUUAACUUGUUCUGAAUAGUUAUUUCAUUACUACUUAUUCUUCGAUUUUGUUUUGCUCUACUAUUUUGUUUGAAUACUUGGUUUGGUAUCAUUUCAUGUGAGAUUGCGCUUAAUUCCUCCACGAAGGUAUGAUAUUAUAAAAUGGUAUAUGCUUCAGUAGAUGAAGUUUGAGACACUGAGUAAAGACAAAAUUUGAAUGUCUCUGUUGUCUUAUUUGUGCCUGUGAUGAGCAGCAAUACUGGAAGGGACUCACAUAUUGGUAAAUCCCACAUAAUGAAUUCGAUUACGCUCCACUACUGUCAUGAAUAAUUCUCCAGAUGCUUGGAUCAUAUGCAGUUCAAACAUAUUGUUGUGAAAGCUGCUAAUGUGGUCUUUAUGAAUAUAUAUUGAGUAUUUGAGUUUUAUGUUUUAUUUAGUUAUCAUUUCUCGUUAUUUCCUUCUUUUCAGUUGGGAAUUUGCACAAAUUGAAUUGUGUCAUUUUUUGCCUCUUAGUUGUUUAGGAAAAACUUACUCUUGGCAUGUUACUUUGUAGCUAGCUAGUGUGACAGACCAUCAAUUUUUGGUGUUAUGGGUUACUUAGCAACGUAAAUAUUGUGUUUCCUUUUACUGCUCUAUUCCUUCAUCUUGGCCUUUGAUUUUCGUUGUGAUGUGAUUGUAAAUAUCAUUACGCAUUACUGUUAAAGCGAGAAUACGAAGAGAUGGGGUAUUUGUUUUUCAUGAAAUGUGCUUGUGUUUUUUUCAUUUGGAAUGAAAAUAUUAAUUGUACUAGAUUUUGACUAUUCUGUCUCUUAAGUGCAAGCGAUAUUUCUUCAAUUCACGCCUACCGCAUAUGGGUAGGCGAACCUUUAGGCACAUAAUUAGAUCAUCACAACAACAGGUAAUGUUCCCAUGGCGUGGUUAUGAUACUUGAUGUCAAAUUAGUUGUAAAAAUGAAUAUUCAUAGUUCACUUAGUUGAAGGCAUUUUCUUUAAUUAAUCGAGGUGCACCAUAUCAAACAAGACCAAUACCUAUGGCCCUCACUUUAUUUAAUCUUGAAUUGAUCCUUAGAUUCUGAGGUGUACUGUUUAGUAAAUUCCAUGGCGCUCGCACAGUUGCAAACGCAGAAUUGCAUUAGGCAUUAGCUUAAUAAUUCACCUUUCCUAAAUUUGGGUGCACAUUUAUGUGACCCAAAUUCAAAUCUCAAUGAAUUUGGAAUGUGUCAAUAACCACGGGUGCAUUUAUGUGAUGUAGUUCGAGACAUGUUUUAACGGCGUUGCAGUUCUCUUUAAAACUAAUAAUAAUAAAAGUGGUUAAAGAUUUAAAAAUGCACAUAGGUUCAUAAAUGUAUAAAAUCAGAUAAUUUAAGCCAAAUAUAACAGUUGAAUGACCGUGCUAGAACCAAGGAAUCCGGGAAUACCUAACACCUUCUCCCGGGUUAACAAAAUUCUUUACCCAGAUUUUUGGUUCGCGGACUAUUAAACAGAGUUAUUCUUUUCUCGAUUCGGGAUUUUAAACGGUGACUUGGGACACCAUAAAUCUCCCAAGUGGUGACUCUUAAAUUCUCUUAAAUAAUUGAAUCCCGUUUCGAUUGUCCUUUAAUUGAAAAAACUCCUUUAUCAAUGCCAUUCGCCGGGUUGUAGUAGCCAAAAGGAGGUGUGACAGCUCUGAUGACUCUGGUGGGUAUCGAACCCAGAAUCUUUGGUUCAGGGUUCGAGAAUUCGAGCUUCGAAUAAAUUUUGUAUUUGGCUUUGUCUAUUAAUUGUUUUGUUUUUACAUGUUGUCUUAAUGUGCAAAAUGUUGCCUUUUACCACUUUGAUAUUAUUUGAACUGUAUAUAAACUGCCGCAAAACCCCUCUCUUCUCACCUAUGGGGAUGUGCUCGCGGGUCGAGACCCUCUAUUCUGUUAGUGUCACACCUUGAAAUAAGAAAGAGGCUCGGACAAGCUACAAAGCCGGACGAUCUUGCGGGUCCCUUGUAUGUAGCCCCUUCCUCGACUCGAGUUGUCCGCUCGGGUACACAGUCUAGAACAAAUACCUAGGCCUUAAACAUAGAAUAACUUAGCCUCAUGCCGGAUCCCUAGUAGGAACGUUUGUUUGCAUCACGUGCAUUUGACAUAGGGGACUUAAUACAGGGGUUGGGUCCGUCUAGGAUAGGUGUACCAAAAUUGAAAGACCAUCCUAAUGCAUUUUAUAUGCCACAUGUUGCAUUUUUUCAAGGGUGAAAGGGUCAUUUGGCAGACCAAUGAUAGCUGAGGGUAAAUGAAAAAUAAUGAAAAAAGGAAAGAGAGGGUGAAGUGUGAAAAUAAAGCAAGUAGGAUCUAGUUAUGUUCUGUUACAUUUUUAUUUUAAAAAAAGACACAAAUAGAUAUAUGAAAAAGUCAAAAAAUAUUUUGCUCUUUUUCACCAUUUCCUGAAAAUAAAAAAAAAAAAAGAAAAAAAAUCCAAAAAGUGUUUACAUAUUUCAUCAUUUUUCAAAAAAAGAGACAAAAGAAGGUGUUUUCUUUAAAAAAAUUAGCUGUUUUUUUAUUAUUUCUUGUCUGUAUCCAAUUUGCCCGAACUAGGCAAACCUGAUUCUCGUCUUUCGGGGCGUGAUACGUAGGCAACCCACAUAGGGUCCGGUCUUCCUAGUAAAUCUUAGGUACUUGGCUUUUUGGGGUCAUAGUCAUAUUUUGUACUUCUAGCCACUUUUAGCUACAUAGGUUAGUUUUAGAAUUCAAAAGUUGUUUGUUGUAAAUUGUGUGAAUUGAGUUGUGUCAAUGGACUCUACUAUUGAAAUUCUUAGAGUUCAAGAUGGAAUUCUCUUGUCAAACUUCUUUUAUGCUGACGAAAGUUCUAUUGAGAUCAGUAUUUAUUUGUUGGAGCAUUGUUUUAUGAUAUUAAUUCGAUCUAUGAAUUGUUCGUGGGCCAAUGUUUGAAAGAAAAUCUUGCAUUAAACACCAAUUAUCUUUGUGCUAAGACUGUGGAGUUCUGAAGCUUGUUUUGUUGAAGUUUACCACUAUUUGUAAAGUUUUUGGAGUAAAUUGAUAGCUGAAAUUCUCCUAAUUUGAACUUGUUACCACUGGUUUCUAAUAGUUGUUAUUAAUGAGUUUAAAUGAAACUCUCCUAGUUUGAACUUGUUACCACUGGUUUCUAAUAGUUAUUGUUGUUGUCGAGUUUAAUAGAGGGGAUUCAGUGGGACUAGAGAUUGAGCAUGCUUGAAUUGUGAUUUGGUUGAACAUAUAGUAAGCUAUAUCUGUUGGAAAUUUAUGUUAGUUGAGAUUGUGCUUGAGUUCAUCAGUGAUAGUGGAAAGCUGGUUUUUACUUGGAGUGAUGUUAUCUUUUAGUUGAUUUAUUCUUUUACAUUGCAACACAUCUUGAGUUAGUUGUUCUGGCAUUCAAGUUCUCAAAGUGGAUGCAAAAUGGGCUCUUACACAAGUAUUAUUAUACGUGUUUUUUUAGCAUGUUUUAGUUGUAAACCUUGAUCUCUACAAGGUUGAUCUUUUCCUAAGAAGCUGAAAAUUGAGAAGAACUGGAUAUUGGUGAAAAUCUAUAUAUAUACUUUGCUAAGUUUUACAUUUAUCAACAGCAUACUUGGCAUCCAAGUACGCAUUGCUUCAGCUUAGCUGUGGUUUAUAUGCCAACAACACACUAUUGAAAUUCAAGUUUUGAGCUGUUUUUUUAAAGCAGAUCCUACACCAUUCAGCUGUACUUUGUGGUUAUUCUGACUCAAUAUUGUUGUGAUUCUAGUGCUUUGUUUCUACAAUUGAAGUCGUCAUUCUAAGCUGAAAAUUUCUGUGCCUAUUGCUGCUGAAUUUAAUGCUCCAAGGUGUUGCUGAAGUUCUGAGUUUUGAGAAGCAAUUGAAUAGCGAACCUGCCAGCUUGUUUGAAUCUUGGAAUUUUGCAUUUAAAUGAAAUAUGUUUAUGUAAUACAAGUUCCCUAAGCAUUAUUUGUAUUUUCUACAACAUUUUGUGAACCUGAAUGGGUUUUGACAUUAGAGCUUGUUUGAAGAAUUUUGGACUCAAAUAAGAGUGUUUUGGACUGCUAUUAAAAGUUGUUGAGACAACCUUGAAAAUUUACACUUUUGCACCAGUUGUCUAGUGAGUGCAAG
rnacentral:lncRNA from 1 species